UUGGUUAGUUUCGGCUUGUGGGAAGUAUUCUAAUCGAUCAAUGGAGCAGGUGGGCAGGCAAGCAAUCAUCCAUGUACGCCGUGCUCCAGGUCAUGAUGUCGUCGUCUAGCUCAUGGCUAAUUAACUACUCGAACGAUUGAAUAUGGCGAACUGACGGCCAGCUCCAUCCGGUCUAGUGGCCGGGCGACGGGCGUGAGCCUAUAAAUCCAUCCACGGGUAGCCGAAUGUCAUCACACACAUUGACCUUGCGCAAACACCAUCGUCGCACCCACGGUUUUAGUUAGCUCUCGGCCUUAGCUACGCACGGUACGAUGUGAGGGUUUGAGGACGAAUUGCUCCGGGGAAAGAAGGAAGGUGAGGGGUGGGCCGCCUCGAAUUGGGGACAAUGCUUGAAACGUGCAGUGGGCAUGGAAACGCCCGACGGGGAAGCGGUUCAUCUACCCGACAGUUGCUACGAUAGGGUAGGGAGGGAUGGCGUCAGGAUACCACGCAUCAAAUACAGUGACCCCGGUGUCUUCACUCAGGUUGGCGAUUUUGCGCGUGCGGUGCCGAUGAUGGUACAGGCGGCUGCGGCGAAAACGAUAGAGUUGGCUAAGGCGGAAAUGGAAGAAGUGGCUAACAAUAGAUGGAGUUAAGUUAUACCUACCUACUUGGGCUUUAAAAAAAAAUGAUACCUACUAGGCCGUGUGUGGGCCAAAUGUUUCCCGGUUUCCCAGUUGUUGCGUGAAGUGCGUCCAGUCUAAGGACUAAGAAAAAGGAGAAAAACGUUACUAAAAAAAAGGAGAAAAACAAGAACAUUGGGAAAUUUUCUACCGCUGCAAGCUUUUAAUUCGUCCGUAGACUAAUCCACCUACGGUGUAACCUUUUAUACCAAAGACAUGGGAAGGAACAAAGAAGAGUAAUGCUACAUUGCUCUUCCCUUUGUUCUCUGUGUUUCCUUCUGAACACUAGGGCAUGUUUGGUCGGAGUCUACCGAUGUGACACUUUUUCUUGCCCAAAUAUAUGGCAAGCCACAACUUUUGUUGGACCUAACUCAACGUCGCUCAAGGAAAACCUAGCCCCCGCGUCGCUCCUCCCGCGGGCGACACGGGCGGCGCCGCCACCCCUUGCCGCUAGCCCUCCUCCUCCUCCCCUUCCCCACCGCCGCCGGGGCAAAGCCUCCCGCGGUGGCUGGCGGCGGGGGCCUUCUCCCCUCCUCGUGUUCGUGGCCUGCGGGAGCGGCCAGGCCGAGCGGAGGCGCUGGGGUGCGCGGAUCCUGGCGGCGCGGCGGCGACGAUCUUGAUGACGGCUGCAGAUGGGUCGACGCCG